rnacentral:rRNA from 1 species
GACGUAGGGCGCGAGCGUUGUCCGGAUUUAUUGGGCGUAAAGAGCUCGUAGGCGGCUCGUUGCGUCGGCUGUGAAAACCCGCAGCUCAACUGUGGGCUUGCAGCUGAUACGGGCGGGCUGGAGUUCGGUAGGGGAGACUGGAAUUCCUGGUGUAGCGGUGAAAUGCGCAGAUAUCAGGAGGAACACCGGUGGCGAAGGCAGCUCUCUGGGACGGUACUGACGCUGAGACGCGAAAGCGUGGGGAGCGAACAGG